CGGAGGAACAUGUGGUUUAAUUCGAUGAUACGCGAGGAACCUUACCCGGGCUUGAACUGCACAGGACUGAUACAGAGAUGUUGAUUCCCUUCGGGGCCUGUGCGGAGGUGCUGCAUGGUUGUCGUCAGCUCGUGCCGUGAGGUGUCGGCUUAAGUGCCAUAACGAGCGCAACCCUUGCCAAUAGUUACCAUCAGGCCAUGCUGGGGACUCUAUUGGGACUGCCAUCGUAAGAUGUGAGGAAGGUGGGGAUGACGUCAAAUCAGCACGGCCCUUACGUCCGGGGCUACACACGUGUUACAAUGGGAGGUACAGAAGGCCGCUACCCGGCGACGGGAUGCCAAUCCCCAAAACCCCUCUCAGUUCGGAUUGGAGUCUGCAACCCGACUCCAUGAAGCUGGAUUCGCUAGUAAUCGCGCAUCAGCCACGGCGCG
rnacentral:rRNA from 1 species